rnacentral:rRNA from 1 species
UACAGAGGGCUCAAGCGUUGUUCGGAUUCAUUGGGCGUAAAGGGCGCGUAGGCUGCGGGGCAAGUCGGGUGUGAAAUCUCAGAGCUCAACUCUGAAACUGCACUCGAUACUGCUUUGCUCGAGGACUGGAGAGGAGAUUGGAAUUCACGGUGUAGCAGUGAAAUGCGUAGAUAUCGUGAGGAAGACCAGUGGCGAAGGCGGAUCUCUGGACAGUACCUGACGCUGAGGCGCGAAGGCCAGGGGAGCAAACGGG